GACGAACGCUGGCGGCGUGCUUAACACAUGCAAGUCGAGCGGUAAGGCCCUUUCGGGGGUACACGAGCGGCGAACGGGUGAGUAACACGUGGGUGACCUGCCCUCAGCUCUGGGAUAAGCCUGGGAAACUGGGUCUAAUACUGGAUAUGACUCCACGGUGCAUGUCGUGGGGUGGAAAGCCUUGUGCGGCUGAGGAUGGGCCCGCGGCCUAUCAGCUUGUUGGUGGGGUGANGGCCUACCAAGGCGACGACGGGUAGCCGGCCUGAGA
rnacentral:rRNA from 1 species